GAAAUGGUUAACUACUGUGGAUUAUGGUUGCUUGGAACAUAGAAAGUGGUUUAUUUUCCAUUUACCGAGGAGACAGAGAACAACUAAUGGCAAACUUAAGAAAACAAACCUAAAAUAGCAUCAAGCAACCUACUUUCUACUUUUGGAAUCGCCCAAGAGCCAAAGGUGAAGACCUGACUUUCAUAAAAUAAACAUGUUUUAUUUGUAGGUACAUGGUUGCGUACUUUACAAAGUGAACAGCCAGCUCUACGCAGCGGUCCAGGUAUCGACAGUGGGAAACUGUCAGAAACAGCAUGAGAAUGCUCCAUUUUUACUGAUAUUCCUGAAUCUUCUUGCCUCUCUGGACAUAAAGUGGACCAAGUGGUACUGACUCAGUGAAGGCUCUUGACUACUGCUGUUUGUAUGGAAGCCGUAUCUCUAUAGCCUGUAAGUCAGGGAAGCAGGAAAGGGCUGCUGACAGGAAUGGACUGGGCUGUUUUCUCAAAAAAAAAAAAAAAAUUACUUGGCCUUGCCUUCAGGAAUACCUCCAUCCUUGUGGAAGACUCCUUAAUUUUUCCUAAGACGUGAUAACCUUAGCCCACCUGCCUGUUCAAGAUGAUGAAUUGAAUUUGGCAACACAGAAGAGCUACAGUCUAGGAGUCCAGGUCCUGAUCUCAUGGUUUUGUGAGUUUGAGCCCCACAUCGAGUUCUGCACAGACAGUUUGGAGUCUGCUUGGGAUUCUCUCUCUCCUUCUCUCUCUCUGCCCCUCCCCAUUUGUGCUGUCUCUGUCUCUCUCAAAAUAAAUAAAUAAAAACUUAAAAAAAAUUAUAUCUCAAUUCUUUUGUAUUUGCUAAAUGGGUCUUUUUAUGUUUAAUGGCUCAUAUUCUCUAUCUGUAAAAUGUGAAUAUAAAUAAUUCCAAC